CGGACAUAUGAGCGGAAGUCUUGGAGCACUGCUGACCACUGCACCCUGUGCUCAUGAAUCCCCACUCCACUCUGCCUGAGGAGACGGGCCUUACCUUGCUCUCACUGCUUCCUCACAGGACUGGAGCCCAGGAGAUGUGGGAGCUUUGAAUGCUCGGGAGCUAAACCUGGCCUUAGCAGACUGACUGUGCCUUUUCCAAAGCCGCAUCCUUCUCCGACUCAUGAUAUAUCCGAGGCACGUGUCAAAGUCCACAUAAGACAAUGGCUUUGCUAUUGUCAACACCAGCAACUCAUAGGCAACGCCAGACCCAGCCUCUUCUGUCCAUCAGCUUGCUGCUGUACUGCAGAAUAACUACUUCAGUGCUGCUUAGGAGUUGAAGGAUUCCUGAUGUCUUCUGCAGCCUCUGGUGAGAAAUCUCUUCCAGAGCUUCAGACUUCUCAGCUGUAUACCCACCAUGACCUGAUUACUUGGAAAGCACCACUCUGCCC
ensembl:lncRNA